CCUGCGCCGCAAGCGGGCCUACCCCUCGAGCGCCUCACUGUGCACCCGGCAGCGGAGGCCGUGCUCGCCACCACGGACACCGGCCUGCUGCAGCCUCUUACGGUCACCCUCCAACGCCCAUGAUGGGCCACCACGGACGACGCGCACUUCUGCAGCCACCUCCGGUCGCCCUCCAACACACACGACGGCCACCAUGGACGACGCACACCUGAUUCCACAAGGAAGUAGAUCCAGGGCCAGCGUUAUAAACUUACUAUUAGUAUUAUUCGACAGACGUGUAACUUGCACAUGAACCAUGUAAAAUGCAAAAUUACUAAUGCCAACUUAAUAAAAAUAACUCUGCAGUGUGUCAUACAUGGCAAACCAAAGAUCAUGCUUGGUACUAUCUCUGUGCAGGUAGACAAUGUGUUCACUAUGCUACACCUGAUACUGGAUCAAUCUACUCUUCCUAAAUGAAAAACAUUAGUGAAAUUCCAGUGGCCUAAAGCCUGAUUUGCAUAUAUAGGAUAUAAGAUGAUAUGAUCAAGAACAGUAGCCAUAUUCAGUAUAACAAACCUAGAACCUGCACUAUAUAGGUUAACAAUUGU
rnacentral:lncRNA from 1 species